UACGAAGGGGGCUAGCGUUGCUCGGAAUUACUGGGCGUAAAGCGCACGUAGGCGGGUUGUUAAGUCGGGGGUGAAAUCCUGGAGCUCAACUCCAGAACUGCCUUCGAUACUGGCGAUCUCGAGUCCGGGAGAGGUGAGUGGAACUGCGAGUGUAGAGGUGAAAUUCGUAGAUAUUCGCAAGAACACCAGUGGCGAAGGCGGCUCACUGGCCCGGUACUGACGCUGAGGUGCGAAAGCGUGGGGAGCGAACAGG
rnacentral:rRNA from 1 species